GGUCCCUCUUCCAGCCUGAGCUGACACAGCCGCCCUCUGCCUCUGCCCCCCUGGGAGCCUCGGCCAAGCUCACCUGCACCCUGAGCAGCGGCUUCAGCAGCUACUAUGUGAACUGGUACCAGCAGGUCCCAGGGAGGGGCCCCCGUUUCCUGAUGCGAGUGGGCACCAGCGGUGUUGCUGGAUCCAAGGGGGAUGGGAUCUCUGACCACUUCUCAGGCUUGGGCUCUGGCCUGGAGGGUCCCUGACCUUCCAGAACAUCCAGGACGAAGACGAGGCUGAAUACAUCUGUGGGGCAGCCCAUGGCAGUGGGAGCAGCUUCGUGUAA